rnacentral:rRNA from 1 species
UGGGGAAUAUUGCACAAUGGGGGAAACCCUGAUGCAGCGACGCCGCGUGAGCGAAGAAGGCCUUCGGGUCGUAAAGCUCUUUUAUAUGGGAAGAUAAUGACGGUACCAUAAGAAAAAGCCCCGGCUAACUACGUGCCAGCAGCCGCGGUAAUACGUAGGGGGCUAGCGUUGUCCGGAAUCACUGGGCGUAAAGGGUUCGCAGGCGGCAAUGCAAGUCAGAUGUAAAAGGCAAAGGCUCAACCUUUGUAAGCAUCUGAAACUGUAUAGCUUGAGAAGUGUAGAGGUAAGUGGAAUUUUUAGUGUAGCGGUGAAAUGCGUAGAUAUUAAAAAGAAUACCGGUGGCGAAGGCGACUUACUGGGCUCAUUCUGACGCUGAGGAACGAAAGCGUGGGUAGCAAACAGG